AACCAGGGUCGUGGCUAUCCGACACUCCAAUCAACUUGGUGGUGGUGCAAUUGACUAAUCGACAGAGGGAUUUACACAAUGACGGGAGGCACACUGAUUGGUUCUUUCCCGUAUAUCUGUCGACUAUGAUUCUAAAUAAAGAUAUGCAACCUCUGGACCAUGAACAUAUCGUCACAUCAUUUUUCGGACAUGACAGAUACACUGGUGCGAUUGAUGCAUGCCAGAGGAUUUACAUGCCUUUCAAUUAUAGAGGAGUGCAUUGG